rnacentral:rRNA from 1 species
UACGUAGGGGGCAAGCGUUAUCCGGAUUUACUGGGUGUAAAGGGAGCGUAGGUGGUUCGGCAAGUCAGAUGUGAAAGCCCGGGGCUCAACUCCGGGAUUGCAUUUGAAACUGUCGGGCUAGAGUGCAGGAGAGGUAAGUGGAAUUCCUAGUGUAGCGGUGAAAUGCGUAGAUAUUAGGAGGAACACCAGUGGCGAAGGCGGCUUACUGGACUGUAACUGACACUGAGGCUCGAAAGCGUGGGGAGCAAAC